GAUGAACGCUAGCGGCAGGCUUAACACAUGCAAGUCGAGGGGCAGCGCGGGAUAGCAAUAUCCUGGCGGCGACCGGCGGAAGGGUGCGUAACGCGUGAGCGACAUGCCCGUUGCCCGGGGACAACCGGUGGAAACGCCGACUAAUCCCCGAUGGGAUACGAUGCUUCAUGGCAUUGUAUUGAAAGUUACGGCGGCGACGGAUUGGCUCGCGUCCGAUUAGCUGGUUGGCGGGGUAACGGCCCACCAAGGCUGCGAUCGGUAGGGGUUCUGAGAGGAAGGCCCCCCAAAAUGGGACUGAGACACGGCCCAUACUCCUACGGGAGGCAGCAGUGAGGAAUAUUGGUCAAUGGGCGGAAGCCUGAACCAGCCAUGCCGCGUGCGGGAAGGAGGCCCUAUGGGCUGUGAACCGCUUUUGCCUGGGGGCAAUAAGGGCGUCGCGCACGUCCGAUGAGAGUACCAGGCGAAUAAGCAUCGGCUAACUCCGUG
rnacentral:rRNA from 1 species